UUUUCUUCUGUAUACUGUCGCAUUAAUGCGUUGAUUAAAUGUGGGAGGAAAUCCUUAUCACUCCUCUACUUGUUUCUAUUGUUAGUAUUUUCAGCCAAUACAAAAAAAUUUGUUUGUCCUUAUCAAUCAUUUAUACAUAAUUUGGCAUAACAAUUUUUUUUCCUUAAAGACUAAAUGCAUACCCUACGAGUACAUAGGUUGUCUUAUUGAGGUUUUGUUAGGAAAACUG
rnacentral:lncRNA from 1 species